GACAGAGGGGGCAAGCGUUGCUCGGAAUUACUGGGCGUAAAGGGCGCGUAGGCGGGAUGGCAAGUCGGUCGUGGAAUCCCUCGGCUCAACUGAGGAGCGUCGAUCGAAACUGCCGUUCUUGAGGGUUGCAGAGGAGACUGGAAUUCCCGGUGUAGCGGUGAAAUGUGUAGAGAUCGGGAGGAACACCGGUGGCGAAGGCGGGUCUCUGGGCAACUCCUGACGCUGAGGCGCGAAAGCGUGGGGAGCAAACGGG
rnacentral:rRNA from 1 species